AUAUCAGUGGAGGUAUAUCCUUACCUGUUACCAUAGAGAUGUGGUAGCAGAACAUGAUGAUUGGGAUUAAUGAAUGUGUGAUUAUGAUCCACAUUUGUCAAGGAGCUUCAACACCUUGAUGAAUCCAGUCUGAU
ensembl:snoRNA U8 U8 small nucleolar RNA